ACAGCACAAUCAGUUUAAUCAGUCAACUGAACGUAACCCACCAAACCUUUCAACAUGAUGAAAUACUUGAUCUUCGCUCUUAUCGUCGCCUUCGCUGUGGCUUCUGCUUACGCUGCCCCUAAUCCAGCUCCUCGUGCAGCUCCAGUGCCAUUCGCAGCUCCUCAGGGUGGCUACGGCGGUUACGGAUAUGGUGGCUACGGAUACUACCCAGGCUACUAUUAGACAUUUUCAACUCUAUGGUUACCUCUCCGCUCUGGCUGGAUCCUUGAAUUGUUUCUCAAAACAUUUCUUGGAUUUUGAAAAAUACCAAAAUUCUUUCAAUAAAGUAAAAUUCUGAGAAA